rnacentral:lncRNA from 1 species
CGUGCAACUGCAGUCCCGAUAAUGAUUGAAGUCGCGAGAAUCAGGUCUUGAUGUGUGUAAAUCUGCAGGAGAGUAAGAGCAUCUUAAGACUGGACUGCAUUGAUGAGUGCUGCCCAUUGACCAAACCCCACCAGAAGCUAAAGACCCAAGGAGCCCAGGUAAAUCAAUAUCGCAAGACGAGUCUCGAGGUGCAGAAUGGCAAAAAAGGGGAGAGAAUGGAGACUAGUCUCAGAGAGAACAACCAGCAGGAUGGAUCCAUUUUUACCAAUUAUUUCUGCCUUUCGAAAUUUUAUCCCAAGAGAAUGAUAUCUCUAACGAUGGACUUUUGGCACUAGGACCAAUGGAUUAGAGAGAUUUGGAGGUAUUGGGAAUGGAGAAGCAUUUUACUGCAUUUAAAUCAUAUGACACGUUUGGCCUCUUAUUCCUCAACUUUGAAAGAAUAACCCGAGACUCUUUAAGUAGAGGAAAACCAC